rnacentral:rRNA from 1 species
UACGUAGGGUGCAAGCGUUAUUCGGAAUUACUGGGCGUAAAGCGUGCGCAGGCGGCUGAUUAAGAGCGAUGUGAAAUCCCCGGGCUUAACCUGGGAAUGGCAUUGGUGACUGCACGGCUAGAGUGUGUCAGAGGGGGGUAGAAUUCCACGUGUAGCAGUGAAAUGCGUAGAGAUGUGGAGGAAUACCGAUGGCGAAGGCAGCCCCCUGGGAUAACACUGACGCUCAGGCACGAAAGCGUGGGGAGCAAACAGG